rnacentral:sRNA from 1 species
UUCUAAACCUUAUUGCAGCGGUAUCCCCGAUUUAAGCACUAUUUUUUGUUUUUUUAUGGUGUACUUGCUUGUUUCACAGGUUUCAUCGGGGAUUUAGCGAAAAGAAGGACUGACU